ensembl:lncRNA
UUUAGGAACACAAGCUGUAUUUCCCUCACUUAACCAAUAGGGGGUAGGACCAAACAUAUAAGCCGUAAAUACUACACAUAGCCACAAGGGAAAGCAGGACAUUACUGAAGGCUGCAAUAGAUACUUUAGCCACAGAGGGCAGCAUCACAGACCAGGCGAGGAAAACCGAGGAUUACGUCACACCGGUUCCUCUCCAAGUCUUCCGGUCCUCGCUGAGUCCAUAAGAAGCUCACCUGGCCAUGAAAACAAUAGAACUCUCCCGGCAGCGAUUAGACAUACGUGGGUUUGUGGCUAGGAUCAGCUAGGAGAACACUCUCGCACGUGCUUAGAACACUCUCGCACGUGCUUAGAACACAUCUUCAAUCUCUCUUUACUUCAGAGCAUCAGUUUACCAUACCGAAAAUACUUUAUACAAAUAAAGUCUCUUUAAAGCUAUUCCUUUGGAUUCGACCCCUCUUUCCAUGAAGAACAUUGCAAUUAUAUAUGGUUAUUUUAAACAACGGGCUAUUGUAGACAGUGGAUACUCGAUUAAUACAAUCUAACACAACCAUUUUAAUGGUCAACCAUAUCACACAGCCAUGACAUGACCCAGACUAACCCCGACUGACCCCCGACUGACAACGUGACGGGGACAACAGAAGUGUAUUGCCUAAUAUUGAAAAUGCAGAUUUUUAAUAUUAUGAUAUUUUGUUAAUGUUUGAUGGCCAAAAUGGCAACAAGGUGAAUUGACGAACGUAUGAGAGAGAUUGGAAGAAGUAUGUGUUAUGGAAGGAGAAGAGAUAGAUGAGAACGUAAGGCACGACAAGCUAAGGAAAGGGGUGGGGAGAGAGAUAACCCAUCUGCAUCGAGUUUUGUUCAAAUAGAUCCGGACCUGGACAACGCUCCUCCUUCUCCUGCUUUCAGCCCGACCAGUGGCCCAGUACAGUGCAAAUACCCCACGUCACGACUCCUCUACAUCAGAUUUUAUGAAGUUACAGACCAUGCGAGGCCCACCUGAAGAGCUACGGAACGGUCUGCUGGACGACACAAGGAGACAGUCCAGCAGGACCAACAGCACCAGAGUGGGGGCCUCCAUGGUGCAUGUGUAGCCACAAGGAAGUGGCCUGAACAUUGAGACAAAGGAGGGUCUCAGAGACGGGAGAGACGUGGGGACACGCACUUCAAAGGACAGCCUGUGACGCAGGAAGCAGAGAGAGGUGGAGGGGUGUCCAGGCGGAUGGAGAGAAGAGCAGUGUCCCUCAGAGACAUCAUGAAGGACAAUGGGAAAGAGAAGAGGAAUACCGUUAAAAUGUUGGGUUAUACUUUGUGUUAUUGAUACUGACUGGAUUGACAAUUAAUGUUUAGAGUAAACAUUAAGUGCUUGCCAACUACUCAUGUGUUUGUAUCACGGAAGCAGCAUUAAGGAUACAUCAAAUAAGAAUAUUUUUGUUUAGAAAUGUUUUUAAAAGGUAGCCUUGUUUCUUUGUUUUUCCUGUUUUUAUUUUUAUGACUUUUGAAUAUAUUGAAACAGAUGACUUGAUUGUGAUGUUAGGAGAUUUUAUGCUACCUUCUGUAAAAGCGAACGGUGGUAUAAAUAUCUGUACUUGGAGGCCAUGGUCGGACAUAGUAGAUUAUGAACAUAUGCAUGUUGUGAUUAAGUGAUCAUUUUAAUCCUAAAGGUUGCAUAAUUUUGUGAUUAUAAAUAAUCAAAGGGGGGAUUGUGAUGGAAAAUCUACAUGUUGUUACGUUUUUGGUCUAUCUAUGAACUUAAGUUGUGUUACUAUUUUGUGUGAUGCAUAUAUUGCCUGCCUUCUGCUCUCCUUUUGGGUCAUUUAAAGUGUGAACGUUAGAGGGUCGUGUGAUGCAUUUUAUUGCCUGCCUCUUCCUAUCUUUUCGUGUGUUGUAAAUCAGCUUUCAAGCCACGCUUUGAUGUAUGGGCUUGUUCCACGACCCCCUGGCUAGCGUAAACGAAGAGGGGGUUAGGUGGCACGGCCGCUACCCCCUCCAAUGGCAUCCAGGGGAGCUUCAGUUGUAAAGAUAACCAUCUGGUCGAAGUGAAUAAGAACUCAUUGACUUCAAACACUCAGGGGACUUGUCUGAGCGUACCUUCAGAGAAUGAAGUAACACGCUAAGAGGAGCUCCCAUCUGAGGCCUCAGAUUAUUGUAAUGUAUGCCUGUUAUGUUGUUUGUUGAU